GACGAACGCUGGCGGCGUGCUUAACACAUGCAAGUCGAACGGAAAGGCCCUGCUUGCAGGGUACUCGAGUGGCGAACGGGUGAGUAACACGUGGGUGAUCUGCCCUGCACUUCGGGAUAAGCCUGGGAAACUGGGUCUAAUACCGGAUAGGAGCCAUUUUUAGUGUGAUGGUUGGAAAGUUUUUUCGGUGUAGGAUGAGCUCGCGGCCUAUCAGCUUGUUGGUGGGGUAAUGGCCUACCAAGGCGGCGACGGGUAGCCGGCCUGAGAGGGUGGACGGCCACAUUGGGACUGAGAUACGGCCCAGACGCCUACGGGAGGCAGCAGUGGGGAAUAUUGCACAAUGGGCGCAAGCCUGAUGCAGCGACGCCGCGUGGGGGAUGACGGCCUUCGGGUUGUAAAAUCCUUUCGCUAGGGACGAAGCUUUUUGUGACGGUACCUAGAUAAGAAGCACCGGCUAACUACGUG
rnacentral:rRNA from 1 species